rnacentral:rRNA from 1 species
GAUAAACGCUGGCGGCGUGCCUAACACAUGCAAGUCGAACGAUCCCGCAAGGGAGAGUGGCGGAAGGGUGAGUAACACGUGGGAAUCUACCUCCUCGCAGGGAACAACCUCUCGAAAGAGAGGCUAAUACCCAAAAGGGUCAGAAAUGAUCAGAGUCGAAAGGCGUGAGGAGAGGAGCCCGCGGCCCAUCAGCUAGUUGGUGAGGUAAUGGCUUACCAAGGCUACGACGGGUAGGGGAUCUGAGAGGAUGUCCCCCACACUGGAACUGAAACACGGUCCAGACGCCUACGGGUGGCAGCAGUGAGGAAUAUUGGACAAUGGGCGAAAGCCCGAUCCAGCAACGCCGCGUGGAGGAUGAAGGCCUUCGGGUCGUAAACUUCUUUAGAGGGAGACGAGAAAGG